CGCUUGUGGCGCCAUCUAGCGGCCAAAAUUGAAAGUGGUUGCCGAAAUGAGACAAAUCUCCACGUUUGGAGGUGGAAAGCUGUCUGUGCUACUUGCUAAUAGCCUAGCCUAUACUAGUUGCUUAUGCUUACAGUUACAGCUUAGUGAUUGAACUGAACAAAUAAAAACAUGAACUUGAAAUCUGAAACUGAAAGUCUUAAACUCUUUAGAGAGUAGAGACCAAUGAGAAAUGGCGUCAAAAAAGCGAACAGCUUCUACAAGUUUACAAAGUCAAAGUCAUGUGGGUGCUGUAGGUGGUGAUGAUCAAGUUGAUUGUGAAACUGUAAAUGUAGAGAAUAAUGAUUCUGGCAGCGAUGGGCAUGAUUCUGGCAGAUUUGUCAUUCUCAUUCAAUGUUAGACCAUUGAGCAUUGACCGCUUUCUCAUUAAAGCAAAUCUGAAAAAAAUACACUGUUUUGAUUGUCA
rnacentral:lncRNA from 1 species